GCCUCUUGAAUACCUUAUUUUUUCGCCUUAUAAUACAUUAGCCAUACUUAAACACCGUUUCAAAAAGGGUGAAAAGGGAGAUGGUCUUAAGCCUUCGAUUCCUCUCCUCAAUUACUUGGAUACGCGUAGCCUUACUCGACCAUUUGAGCAAUUGUCAGCCAUUAAAAAAAACUUUUAACCCCCGCCACAUCCAAAUUCUUUUCAUAAGUAAACUUCAAACGCUUGAUCAAAU
rnacentral:lncRNA from 1 species